GGCGUAAUCUAGGCGGGCGAGCGAUCGCCUGUCCGGAUUGCGCCAGGAACAUCACUUCGGUCGAGGUGUUGUCGUUCCGAGAGGGGCGAUGACCGCGGCCGGCCUUCUUUACACUCUUGUCUGGAAGAUGAAGUCUGAAUGAAAAACAAAAAAUUGAAGCAAAACUUUCAACAACGGAUCUCUUGGCUCUGGCAACGAUGAAGAACGCAGCGAAACGCGAAAGGUAAUGCGAAUUGCAGAAUCAGUGAGUCAUCGAAUCUUUGAACGCACAUUGCGCCUCUUGGUAUUCCAGGAGGCACGCCUGUUCGAGCGCCAUUACACACCCCAAGCUCGGCUUGAUGUUGGACGAGGCGGGAGACCGCCCGUCUGGAACGCGUGGGCGCCGGCCGCCGGACCGCGAGCGUAGCAAGACGCAAGUCAGUCGCUCCGUGGGCUCCGACGGACGGUCGUCGAAUAUUCAUUGUAUAUCAUAACGUUUGGCCUCGGAUCAGGCGGGGAUACCCGCUGAACUUAAGCAUAUCAAUAAGCGGAGGAAAAGAAACCAACAGGGAUUGCCCCAGUAACGGCGAGUGAAGCGGCAACAGCUCAAAUUUGAAAUCUGGCGUCUCGGGCGCCCGAGUUGUAAUUUGCAGAGGAAGCCUCGGGUUGAGGGUCGGUCCAAGUUCCUUGGAACAGGAUACCGAAGAGGGUGAGAGUCCCGUCUCCGGCCGACGCCGACGCCCGUGUGAGGCUCCUUCGACGAGUCGAGUUGUUUGGGAAUGCAGCUCUAAAUGGGUGGUAAAUUCCAUCUAAAGCUAAAUACCGGCCAGAGACCGAUAGCGAACAAGUAGAGUGAUCGAAAGAUGAAAAGCACUUUGAAAAGAGAGUCAAACAGUACGUGAAAUUGUUGAAAGGGAAGCGUAUACGGCCAGACUUGACCGUGGGGGCUCAUCCCGUCUUCUGGCGGGUGCACUCCCUCGCGGGCAGGCCAGCAUCGGUUUGCGGGGUCGGACAAAGGCGUUGGGAACGUGGCUCUCUUCGGGGAGUGUUAUAGCCCGGCGUGCAAUGCGGCCACCGCGGACCGAGGACCGCGCU
rnacentral:rRNA from 1 species